CGCGUAGGCGGUUUGAAUCGUCGGAUGUGAAAGGCCUGGGCUCAACCUGGGAACGGCAUCCGAUACGGUCAGACUUGAGUGUGGGAGAGGUUGGUGGAAUUCCCAGUGUAGAGGUGAAAUUCGUAGAUAUUGGGAAGAACACCGGUGGCGAAGGCGGCCAACUGGACCACAACUGACGCUGAGGCGCGAAAGCGUGGGGAGCAAAACA
rnacentral:rRNA from 1 species